rfam:Steinernema glaseri strain NC unplaced genomic scaffold GLAS_7340, whole genome shotgun sequence.
GGUCCUGUGGUGUAGUGGUUAUCACGUCUGCUUUACACGCAGAAGGUCGUCGGUUCGAACCCGGCCAGGAUCA